rnacentral:rRNA from 1 species
CCCUGGUUGAUCCUGCCAGAAGUUAUAUGCUUGUCUCAAAGAUUAAGCCAUGCAUGUCUCAGUGCAAGCCGUAUUAGGGCGAUACCGCGAAUGGCUCAAUAUAUCAGUUUUGGUUCCUUAGAUCUUACUCAGUUACUUGGAUAACUGUGGUAAUUCUAGAGCUAAUACAUGCAAUCAGAACUCUGACCAGUGAUGGGACGAGUGCUUUUAUUAGAUCAAAACCAAUCGACGGAGGGCCUCGCGUUCGAAGUCGUUAAUUUUGAUGAAUCUGGAUAACUUUUGCCGAUCGCACGGUCCAGCACCGGCGACGCAUCUUUCAAAUGUCUGCCUUAUCAACUUUCGAUGGUAGUUUCUGCGACUACCAUGGUUGUCACGGGUAACGGGGAAUCAGGGUUCGAUUCCGGAAUGGUUGUCACGGGUAACGGGGAAUCAGGGUUCGAUUCCGGAGAGGGAGCCUGAGAAACGGCUAAACGGCUACCACAUCCAAGGAAGGCAGCAGGCGCGCAAAUUACCCACUCCCGGCACGGGGAGGUAGUGACGAAAAAUAACGAUACGGGACUCUUACGAGGCCUCGUAAUCGGAAUGAGUACACUUUAAAUAUUUUAACGAGGAACAAUUGGAGGGCAAGUCUGGUGCCAGCAGCCGCGGUAAUUCCAGCUCCAAUAGCGUAUACUAAAAUUGUUGCGGUUAAAAAGCUCGUAGUUGCAUUUGUGCGCCGCGCUGUCGGUGCACCGCAUCCGCGGUGAUACUGACACGUUUGCGGAGCAUAUCGUCGGUGAGCCGACGGUCAAACGUCGGUUCAAUAUCAAAAUCCUAUCGCGGUGCUCUUCAGUGAGUGUCGAGAUGGGCCGACAAUUUUACUUUGAACAAAUUAGAGUGCUCAAAGCGGGCUCAAAAUGCUGCUUGAAUAUUUCGUGCAUGGAAUAAUAGAAUAUGAUCUCGGUUCUAUUUUGUUGGUUUUCAGAACUCCGAGGUAAUGAUUAAUAGGGAUAACUGGGGGCAUUCGUAUUGCGACGUUAGAGGUGAAAUUCUUGGAUCGUCGCCGUCGCAAGACGAACAUCAGCGAAAGCAUUUGCCAAAGGUGUUUUCAUCAAUCAAGAACGAAAGUUAGAGGUUCGAAGGCGAUUAGAUACCGCCCUAGUUCUAACCGUAAAUAUGUCAUCUAGCGAUCCGCCGACGUUACUACAAUGGCUCGGCGGGCAGCUUUCGGGAAACCAAAGAUUUUGGACUCCGGGGGGAGUAUGGUUGCAAAGCUGAAACUUAAAGGAAUUGACGGAAGGGCACCACCAGGAGUGGAGCCUGCGGCUUAAUUUGACCAGGAGUGGAGCCUGCGGCUUAAUUUGACCGCCAACACGGGAAAUCUCACCAGGCCCGGACACCGGAAGGAUUGACAGAUUAACAGCUCUUUCUUGAUUCGGUGGGUGGUGGUGCAUGGCCGUUCUUAGUUGGUGGAGCGAUUUGUCUGGUUAAUUCCGGUAACGAACGAGACUCUAGCCUGCUAAAUAGGCGUCGUCAUUUAGGUGUGCGUGGCUCACGUCACGCAACUCACUGGCGACGUAUUAAAAUUCUUCUUAGAGGGACCGGCGGCUUCGAGCCGCACGAGAUUGAGCAAUAACAGGUCUGUGAUGCCCUUAGAUGUCCUGGGCCGCACGCGCGCUACACUGAAGGAAUCAGCAUGUUCUCCCAGGCCUAGAGGCCCGGGCAACCCGUUGAAACUCCUUCGUGCUGGGGAUUGGGGUUUGCAAUUAUCCCCCAUAAACGAGGAAUUCCUAGUAAGCGCGAGUCAUAAGCUCGCGUUGAUUACGUCCCUGCCCUUUGUACACACCGCCCGUCGCUACUACCGAUUGAAUGAUUUAGUGAGGUCUUCGGACCGACACGCGGUGGCUUCACGGCCGUCGGUUCACGGCCGUCGGCGUUGCUGGGAAGUUGACCAAACUUGAUCAUUUAGAGGAAGUAAAAGUCGUAACAAGGUUUCCGUAGGGGAACCUGCGGAAG